GCGACCUCUGGGACACCCAGACUCCAGCUGCUGGGCAGGCAGUGGGGGGGCACCUGAGGUGUGGCUCCUGGUAGACUCACAGGUGCUUCUGUGUCCUGUAGCUACAGCCUGUCCUGCCAGCUAGGGCCCCAGGCCUAGUUGGCCAGCAGAAUACUCAAGGCCAAGAAGAACCGGCCAUCAUCAAGGCGAAGAUUUGUGAUGCAGCUUUUAAGGCUACAUCUGGGCCUCCUUCCGUCAUGUCUAUGCUGCCUACACACUAGGCUCUCCAGCAUCCCUUCACGUACUUAUGUAAUGCUGUUUCAGGAGGAAAUGUCCUGGAGGCCCCAGCCUCUGUCAGGCCAUGAGAUGACCUGAAUGCAGAUGUAGUGGGAUUCAUCACCUCUGCAUCCUUCAGUCCUCGGUGGUGGUCCUAAUCUCUGCAGUCCCU